GGCGCAUUCGUCUAGUGGCCUAGGACACCGCCCUCUCAAGGCGGAGAUCACGGGUUCGAGUCCCGUAUGCGCUACCA
rnacentral:tRNA from 1 species